rnacentral:rRNA from 1 species
GAUGAACGCUGGCGGCGUGCCUAAUACAUGCAAGUCGAGCGAACAGAUGAGGAGCUUGCUCCUCUGACGUUAGCGGCGGACGGGUGAGUAACACGUGGAUAACCUACCUAUAAGACUGGGAUAACUACGGGAAACCGGAGCUAAUACCGGAUAAUAUAUUGAACCGCAUGGUUCAAUAGUGAAAGACGGUUUUGCUGUCACUUAUAGAUGGAUCCGCGCCGCAUUAGCUAGUUGGUAAGGUAACGGCUUACCAAGGCAACGAUGCGUAGCCGACCUGAGAGGGUGAACGGCCACACUGGAACUGAGAAACGGUCCAGACUCCUAAGGGAGGCAGCAGUAGGGAAACUUCCGCAAUGGGCGAAAGCCUGACGGAGCAAAGACGCGUGAGUGAUGAAGGUCUUCGGAUCGUAAAACUCUGUUAUUAGGGAAGAAAAAAUGUGUAAGUAACUAUGCACGUCUUGAAGGUACCUAAUCAGAAAGCCACGGCUAAAUACGUG